GCCAGCAUCAAAGUCUUCAGACAGCAAAUUGACCAUAUCCACCUCUCUCAGAAAACCCUCUCUUCCUUCCCAAUGAACGCUACAACUUGGUGGACCGCUCCGUCUCGGUCGGCGAGGGCUUGUCUCAACAGCUUCGUCUCCAGCCGACGGCGGGAACGAGCGCGGUAGUGACAGCGACUUGCUUGUCCAGGCCUAGAGAGAAGAGCACGGUGUUGACGCUUUGCAUCACCAGGAGGAGGUUGUCGAUCAUCGUCGUGUCGUUAAAGCACUGCAGUUGAUAAUUUUGUAGCCUGAUGUCUCCACCACAGCUGGUUGGUAAGGGGGAAGGGAAGAGCAAUGGAUAUAUGGUAGCUUGUUCUCCCUCUGUGGACAUGAAUCACCAGAAUCUGUCGGACAAGGGAAGUUUCAUGUGAGUUCAAUCAAUGUAAAUUUGCAUAUUCUCAUAUAAAUUGAAUUCAGUACUGAUCAAUUAGGAACCUUUAUUCAUAAUUGCAGGAAAUUCUAAGUACAAUAGAGCAUGGUGGAAGUUCAUUGACAUAAUUGCAGAAAUCUUCAAGUCCACUAGAAUGAUUUAUCUUGUAAUUUUUUGUUUUUGAAGAAGUAAUUGAUAUCAUCAGACUGCUCUUCAUAUCUCAAUUCUUCUCAUUGCUUUUAAAGAAGUAAUUGAAAAUUUCAGUUUCAGUUGGUGAAAUUGAUAUCAUUAGACA